UCCACAGUGCUCCACAAUCCACUUGGCUUCUGACUGCUUCUCCGUCGCUCAGUUGAAUUGGGUUGACCUGAAUCGUAGAAAGAUGCCUCACCAUCAGCAGCAGUGUAAACAGCCCUGCCAGCCACCUCCAGUGUGCCCUCCGCUGUGCCAGGAAACCUGCCCAACCCCCAAGUGCCCGGAGCCGUGUUCACCCAAGUGCCCGGAGCCGUGUUCACCCAAGUGCCCGGAGCCGUGUCCAAAGCCAUGCCCAGAGCCCUGCCCGGAGCCAUGUCCUCCACCCAAGUGCCCGGAGCCAUGUCCUCCACCCCACUGCCAGGAAAAGUGUCCUCCACCCCACUGCCAGGAGAAGUGUCCUCCACCCAAGUGCCCUCCUACACAGAAGUAAAACUGAAGUGCUAGCAGCCUUCAUCCAUGCAUCCACAGCUAACAAAUGUCCAGCAAACCAAGAAGAGCCUACUUGCAACCAAAUUCACACCUGUUUCUCCCCCUUUCUCCUGAACUUGACUUUGGGGAGGGGGCAUAAUUUAGAGCUCCACUCAUAUGUUGUAUAUUAAUUCUGUCAUUAGUAUCCUUUGGAGACUGGUGUAGUCUGCAAUCAACUGUACCCCUGAAAUAUUGGCACUUACACCCCUCAUAGCCAUUCCAUAUCAUGUACUGGCCCUGAUAUUGCAGUACAUUCAUUCUCCUGUUUUCCAUUCCAUCCUUAAUUGUAAACAUGCUGGAAUAAAACUUAUAAUUUAUGUUA